UGAUCGAAGCCCCGGUAAACGGCGGCCGUAACAAUAACGGUCCUAAGGUAGCGAAAUUCCUUGUCGGGUAAGUUCCGACCUGCACGAAUGGCGUAACGAUGGCGGCGCUGUCUCCACCCGAGACUCAGUGAAAUUGAAAUCGCUGUGAAGAUGCAGUGUAUCCGCGGCUAGACGGAAAGACCCCGUGAACCUUUACUAUAGCUUUGCACUGGACUUUGAAUUUGCUUGUGUAGGAUAGGUGGGAGGCUUUGAAGCGUGGACGCCAGUCUGCAUGGAGCCAACCUUGAAAUACCACCCUUUAAUGUUUGAUGUUCUAACGUAGACCCGUAAUCCGGGUUGCGGACAGUGUCUGGUGGGUAGUUUGACUGGGGCGGUCUCCUCCUAAAGAGUAACGGAGGAGUACGAAGGUGCGCUCAGACCGGUCGGAAAUCGGUCGUAGAGUAUAAAGGCAAAAGCGCGCUUGACUGCGAGACAGACACGUCGAGCAGGUACGAAAGUAGGUCUUAGUGAUCCGGUGGUUCUGUAUGGAAGGGCCAUCGCUCAACGGAUAAAAGGUACUCCGGGGAUAACAGGCUGAUACCGCCCAAGAGUUCAUAUCGACGGCGGUGUUUGGCACCUCGAUGUCGGCUCAUCACAUCCUGGGGCUGAAGCCGGUCCCAAGGGUAUGGCUGUUCGCCAUUUAAAGUGGUACGCGAGCUGGGUUUAGAACGUCGUGAGACAGUUCGGUCCCUAUCUGCCGUGGACGUUUGAGAUUUGAGAGGGGCUGCUCCUAGUACGAGAGGACCGGAGUGGACGAACCUCUGGUGUUCCGGUUGUCACGCCAGUGGCAUUGCCGGGUAGCUAUGUUCGGAAGAGAUAACCGCUGAAAGCAUCUAAGCGGGAAACUUGCCUCAAGAUGAGAUCUCACUGGAACCUUGAGUUCCCUAAAGGGCCGUCGAAGACUACGACGUUGAUAGGUUGGGUGUGUAAGCGCUGUGAGGCGUUGAGCUAACCAAUACUAAUUGCCCGUGAGGCUUGACC
rnacentral:rRNA from 1 species